rnacentral:lncRNA from 1 species
ACCCCAGCAGUGAGUCAGUCACUUCAGAGUCAGUAGAGCUUCAGCCAGAGGUGAGUGGAAUAACUCUUAUGCUUUUAAAUAAAUAAACCAGUUUUAACAUGAUUCACGCAUCAUGAAUGCCAUGAGAUAAUAGGGUGUUGCAUUAGACUCACGAAUAUGUUGCAUUGCAUAUUAUGUUUGAUGAUGUGGAUGAAUGUUGAAUGAUCCAUUAGUCCCCCUAUGCUAUGAUGAUGAUGAUACGGUACGGAAGACCAGUGAGGCCCAUUCUACGCCCCUGGCACUAUGUAAGAGAAAGACCAGUGAGG